ACGCUCGACACCUACGGGAGCAGCAGUGGGGAAUAUUGCACAAUGGGGGAAACCCUGAUGCAGCGACGCCGCGUGAAGGAAGAAGUAUCUCGGUAUGUAAACUUCUAUCAGCAGGGAAGAAAAUGACGGUACCUGACUAAGAAGCCCCGGCUAACUACGUGCCGACAGCCGCGGUAAUCUGAGCGGGCUGGCAAGGC
rnacentral:rRNA from 1 species